rfam:Bacillus shackletonii strain LMG 18435 super11, whole genome shotgun sequence.
GGACCUUUAGCUCAGCUGGUUAGAGCAGACGGCUCAUAACCGUCCGGUCGUAGGUUCGAGUCCUACAAGGUCCA